GUGGGGAAUAUUGGACAAUGGGCGAAAGCCUGAUGCAGCAACGCCGCGUGAGGGACGACGGCCUUCGGGUUGUAAACCUCUUUUAGUAGGGAAGAAGCGAAAGUGACGGUACCUGCAGAAAAAGCACCGGCUAACUACGUGCCAGCAGCCGCGGUAAUACGUAGGGUGCAAGCGUUAUCCGGAAUUAUUGGGCGUAAAGAGCUCGUAGGCGGUCUGUCGCGUCUGCUGUGAAAACUGGAGGCUCAACCUCCAGCCUGCAGUGGGUACGGGCAGACUAGAGUGCGGUAGGGGAGAUUGGAAUUCCUGGUGUAGCGGUGGAAUGCGCAGAUAUCAGGAGGAACACCGAUGGCGAAGGCAGAUCUCUGGGCCGUAACUGACGCUGAGGAGCGAAAGCGUGGGGAGCGAACAGGAUUAGAAACCCGGGUAGUCC
rnacentral:rRNA from 1 species